CAGUCGAACGGUGAACACGGAGCUUGCUCUGUGGGAUCAGUGGCGAACGGGUGAGUAACACGUGAGCAACCUGCCCCUGACUCUGGGAUAAGCGCUGGAAACGGCGUCUAAUACUGGAUACGAGUAGCGACCGCAUGGUCAGUUACUGGAAAGAUUUAUUGGUUGGGGAUGGGCUCGCGGCCUAUCAGCUUGUUGGUGAGGUAAUGGCUCACCAAGGCGUCGACGGGUAGCCGGCCUGAGAGGGUGACCGGCCACACUGGGACUGAGACACGGCCCAGACUCCUACGGGAGGCAGCAGUGGGGAAUAUUGCACAAUGGGCGCAAGCCUGAUGCAGCAACGCCGCGUGAGGGAUGACGGCCUUCGGGUUGUAAACCUCUUUUAGCAGGGAAGAAGCGAAAGUGACGGUACCUGCAGAAAAAGCGCCGGCUAACUACGUGCCAGCAGCCGCGGUAAUACGUAGGGCGCAAGCGUUAUCCGGAAUUAUUGGGCGUAAAGAGCUCGUAGGCGGUUUGUCGCGUCUGCUGUGAAAUCCGGAGGCUCAACCUCCGGCCUGCAGUGGGUACGGGCAGACUAGAGUGCGGUAGGGGAGAUUGGAAUUCCUGGUGUAGCGGUGGAAUGCGCAGAUAUCAGGAGGAACACCGAUGGCGAAGGCAGAUCUCUGGGCCGUAACUGACGCUGAGGAGCGAAAGGGUGGGGAGCAAACAGGCUUAGAUACCCUGGUAGUCCACCCCGUAAACGUUGGGAACUAGUUGUGGGGUCCAUUCCACGGAUUCCGUGACGCAGCUAACGCAUUAAGUUCCCCGCCUGGGGAGUACGGCCGCAAGGCUAAAACUCAAGGAAUUGACGGGGACCCGCACAAGCGGCGGAGCAUGCGGAUUAAUUCGAUGCAACGCGAAGAACCUUACCAAGGCUUGACAUAUACGAGAACGGGCCAGAAAUGGUCAACUCUUUGGACACUCGUAAACAGGUGGGUGCAUGGUUGUCGU
rnacentral:rRNA from 1 species